rnacentral:rRNA from 1 species
UGGGGAAUAUUGGACAAUGGGCGCAAGCCUGAUCCAGCCAUGCCGCGUGAGUGAUGAAGGCCCUAGGGUUGUAAAGCUCUUUCACCGGUGAAGAUAAUGACGGUAACCGGAGAAGAAGCCCCGGCUAACUUCGUGCCAGCAGCCGCGGUAAUACGAAGGGGGCUAGCGUUGUUCGGAUUUACUGGGCGUAAAGGGCACUUAGGCGGACUAUUAAGUCAGGGGUGAAUUCCCGGGGCUCAACCCCGGAACUGCCUUUGAUACUGGUAGUCUUGAGUUCGAGAGAGGUGAGUGGAAUUCCGAGUGUAGAGGUGAAAUUCGUAGAUAUUCGGAGGAACACAAGUGGCGAAGGCGGCUCACUGGCUCGAUACUGACGCUGAGGUGCGAAAGCGGGGGGAGCAAACAGG